AGUGUAUCUGGAUAUGUUGCUUCAACAGGCAAGUCAUGUCCUAGAGGUAUCACAGUGUGUCGAGACUUGAGAGCAUCAAUGGUGUCAAGGAAGGAUAAUGGAAAGCCACCCUCAGCUUUUACCGUAACUAUGUAGCAUAUAUACAAUAAUUGAUGUUUUAUGUGUUAUAUAACUUGACCUGAAUGUCAAUUAUGACUCUUGCUUAUGUUUAUUAGAGCAAGGAGUUGCAGCAGAGUUCCCAUGUAAAACUUUCUAGGAAUAUCACCAUCCGAGCAGCCCCACUAGUACUAUCUUGUUUUGUGAGGCCAAAGUUUAGCUCUUGAAGCUGAUUCCCACUAUCUAGACUAUCAUGGAGGAGCUCCAGUCUUACAAAAGUAGAAAACUCAAGUCGCUCUUGAUUUUAAGGGCAGGGGAUUUAAACGCAGUUUAUUAGAUAGACAACUUACAACAAAUCUGACAUGUCUCAAAUAGUCCAAGCUCCAGUAGUUAAGGGUUCGUAUUUACAAGUGGGCUUCUCAUAUUAUGGGAAUGUGAUAGAUGAAAAUUAGAAUUCAGAUGAUGAUGAUGAUGAUGACGACGAUGAGGAUGAAGAAGAUUAUAAAAGGGACGAUAGAAAUGAUGAAGGAUUGGAUAUAAUUGCCAAGAAAAUUGGUGUGAAGAGGCAUGGGUGCCUUGUAUACAUGGAUAAAAAGGCCAAAGAAGAAGAAAGGAGACAAAUAUAAGUGGUGAAGGAUAAGUGGUGAAGGGAGAUCCUGCAAUUGUACGUAUCAUAUGCUACAUUUGAAAGUGAAGUUAUCCAUUUCUGAAGCACUCAAGUUUCAUAAAACUUGUGCAUUUUGAAACUGCAGAGGACAACUGAGUCACAAAGAAAGAAGAAAGGCUUUUCAAAUUGAAAGAGAGGGAGAGAGAAUCAGCACCUGUUUCUGGAAGUUGAGUGCAUUAUGAUUUUUUACAGUACACGUGUUUAAUAGUAAAUUUAAUUCCAGAAGAGGGAUUCUGAUGCAAGAUAAUGUUGUUAACCAUACAUGAUUCAUACCGGCAUACGCUUUCUGUAGUAAGUUUAAUUCCAGAAGAGAGAUUCUGAUGCAAGAUAAUGCUCUUAACCAUACACAAUUCAUACUGGUACACCCUUUCAGUAGUAAAUUUAAAUCCAGAAGAGGGAUUCGGUGCAAGCUAAUGCUGUUCACCAUACAUGAUUUAUAUAGAGAGUCCAGACAAAGUCCCACAUACGAAGCUCUUUCACGUUUCUAGGAGAUGCUGAUGGACCUAAGCUUGCCGGAUAUACUCCUCCAUCGUCUUCUCUAUCCCAUGUUGGUGCUUUGAAUAGGUCGGAGCACUCAUUAUUGCAUAGCUACAUGAGGGGAAUUUUUGUGUUUGAGGAGGAAUCUUGCUUUAAUUAUAGUCACACAGUUUCUCGUCAGGUUUAGUGAUGAUAUAGAUUCUCUCAAAUUCCUGUUCUUUUCUGCGGGGCAUCAUCUAGUCACAUUCUUGAAGCCUUGCAUAUCAAUUCCGCAUCUGGUGUAGCUGUUGAUAAUGAAAGAAAUGCCAAAUUGUCAAAACCACCCACGGGAACUUCAUCAGGAUUAGCCAAGUUAAGUAAGCAUUGUGGUAGUGGAAUCCUUGCUAAACAGCAGGGAGAGAAAAAAGAAAUAUCCCAGGAGGAGCGACUUAAGUGGAUUAUGAGAAAACAACUAAAUAAUCAGAGUAUACUUUUUUGUUUUUGAUUUCAUUAUCAUUAGAGUUAAAUUUAACAUCAUGUGCUGCUAGCAACAUGAUGGAAUGAUGCUACAAAUUUGUGGAAUUGGAGUUACUACACUAGGUACUAAUUCUUAGGCUAAUAUUUGUCGUUAAUAUCUUGUCUUCACAGUCAAGAAAGAUACUGCUUAAGAAACGCUGCCGCAACAUGCGGGUUUCCCACUCGUUAUAUAUAUAUAUACACACAUAUUAUAUC